GAGGAAGAAGGAGGAAAAAAGUAGAAGAAAGGAGAGGAAGAGGAAGGAGGAGGACGACUCUUUCCGCCUUCCCACGGGAGACACCCAAGGCCAGGUACAGAAGUCCCAGCUUUUGUCCGGAAUGCAGUGACCUGCCCCCUGUCGAACGUCCCGAGUCGUCGUCACAGUGAGUUGGGGAGCAGAUAAAUUGAAUGAAUGAAUAAAAUAAGAAAGAAAUUUUAAAAAUGGGCACCUUCCAUGCAGCUACGUGCGGGUUCCCCCCCCCCGACCUGGCCCGGCUCAGGCCACCCUCGUAAAUCCAGGCCGGUUGCCAAGUGUGCCAAUUUUGAUCCCAUUAUGGAGGGACGCUGCGAGAGUCCUGGCUUGUAAGUUGUUCUUUUUAUUGCUGUUGUAACUUCAAACGAUCACUAAACCAGUGGUUGUCACCUGAGGACUACCCAUAAUGCAACUGGAGUGGGAAAUUGCAUCCUAACAGCUGGAAGACUCCCAAGCAGCUGUUCCCCUUUGGGCUGAGCAAGGUCCUCGGUGGAUGGAGCCGGUCCUUUUGCUGACCGGAAGGGACGCUGCCUGUGGUUACAGCCAAGCCACCUCCGCAAUCUUCGGCCUGGGGUGCACGGGGGCUCCUGCGGUCAGCUGGUCAGCUUCACCUUAAGAGAUGAAGAGGAAAGAACCAGGACACCCAGAAAUUGUCUUCUGUGGGACGAGAGACCUCAAACUGAAGUGCGCAUGGCAAAAAAUCAUCCAAUCCGUGAGGGUAGUCCAGCACACCGGUUCCUACCUGGUAGACCUUUGCUAG